rnacentral:rRNA from 1 species
CCUACGGGUGGCAGCAGUGAGGAAUAUUGGUCAAUGGCCGGAAGGCUGAACCAGCCAAGCCGCGUGAAGGACGAAGGUGCCAAGCAUUGUAAACUUCUUUUGUCAAGGGACAAAAUCAGGCUCGAGUGCCUGACCGAGGGUACUUGAAGAAAAAGCAUCGGCUAACUCCGUGCCAGUAGCCGCGGUAAUACGGAGGAUGCGAGCGUUAUCCGGAUUUAUUGGGUUUAAAGGGUGCGUAGGGGGACUGUUAAGUCAGUGGUAAAAGCCGGGGGCUCAACCCCGGCGAGCCGUUGAAACUGGCUGUCGUGAGAUGUCGAGAGGUAUGCGGAAUGCGCAGUGUAGCGGUGAAAUGCUUAGAUAUUGCGCAGAACUCCGAUUGCGAAGGCAGCAUACCGGCGGCGCUCUGACGCUGAGGCACGAAAGCGUGGGUAUCGAACAGGAUUAGAUACCCCAGUAGUC